GCUCCAGUGGUGCAAUCGGUUAGCGCGCGGUACUUAUAAUGCCGAGGUUGGGAGUUCGAGCCUCACCUGGAGCA
rnacentral:tRNA from 1 species